rnacentral:ncRNA from 1 species
AUAAAGACGUUGACGAGAAAAAGUAGCAGUCUGAUAUGCUUCAGAGAGCCGUUGGUCGGUGUGAAACGGUGCAGGUAAGGUUGUGAAUAUCAUCUCCGAGUUUCGUGCUGAAAGCUCUCGUAAUUAGGCAUCGACGGUGUGGUCUCCGUUACAGGACUAAGCAUUGAUAGAUGCGACAGAGUGGUCGUUUUACGGCAAUGAGAGUGGUACCGCAGAGGUAAUUUAAGCCUUUGUCUCUUCA